AACAGGAUUAGAUACCCUGGUAGUCCACGCUGUAAACGAUGUCGACUUGGAGGUUGUGCCCUUGAGGCGUGGCUUCCGGAGCUAACGCGUUAAGUCGACCGCCUGGGGAGUACGGCCGCAAGGUUAAAACUCAAAUGAAUUGACGGGGGCCCGCACAAGCGGUGGAGCAUGCGGUUUAAUUCGAUGCAACGCGAAGAACCUUACCUACUCUUGACAUCCAGAGAAUUUGCUAGAGAUAGCUUAGUGCCUUCGGGAACUCUGAGACAGGUGCUGCAUGGCUGUCGUCAGCUCGUGUUGUGAAAUGUUGGGUUAAGUCCCGCAACGAGCGCAACCCUUAUCCUUUGUUGCCAGCACGUAAUGGUGGGAACUCAAAGGAGACUGCCGGUGAUAAACCGGAGGAAGGUGGGGCUGACGUCAAGCCAUCGUGGCCCUUACGAGUAGGGCUACACACGUGCUACAAUGGCAUAUACAAAGAGAAGCGAACUCGCGAGAGCAAGCGGACCUCAUAAAGUAUGUCGUAGUCCGGAUUGGAGUCUGCAACUCGACUCCAUGAAGUCGGAAUCGCUAGUAAUCGUAGAUCAGAAUGCUACGGUGAAUACGUUCCCGGGCCUUGUACACACCGCCCGUCACACCAUGGGAGUGGGUUGCAAAAGAAGUAGGUAGCUUAACCUUCGGGGGGGCGCUUACCACUUUGUGAUUCAUGACUGGGGUGAAGUCGUAACAAGGUAACC
rnacentral:rRNA from 1 species